rnacentral:hammerhead_ribozyme from 1 species
AUUCAGCUGAUGAGUCCCAAAUAGGACGAAACGCUUGUCAAAACUGGAU